AAUGUGCUAGGGUAGCCAAGGAUGACUUGCCUUUGAUCACAAUGUGUGAGAGAGUGAAAUGGUUCUCCACCAGUGCUUUAUGAGCAAGUCGCCUUGGCUAACCUAAGGAUCUU
rnacentral:pre_miRNA from 1 species